AGCAUUCAGGUUUUAACUAUAAAAGGAUCAAAAUAAAUCUCUUUAGUAUAUUUAAAGGAUGAAAAAUAUGACUCAAUUUCUUCUGUUUAUUUAUUCUUUGAUUAUCUUUCUUUCUCUAUUUCUUGGAGAAGCGGCAUUAGAGAGGACUAGAACCACAAUGCUAACAUCCUAUAAUAUUGGUUGCAAGUCUGACGCCGAUUGUCCAAAGGCGAUUGAACCUCAUUAUACACGGUGUGUUGAUGGUCAUUGUUGGUUAUAUUUUGGUGAAGGGCCAAAAUUGCACAAUUGAAACUAAGGGACAUCACAAUAUUUCAACUUUUAUUCUCUAUUUAAAAAUAAAAAUUAUAUUUAUCUAGCUGUUAAAUUUAAUUUUAUGUGUAUACGCUGCACUCUUUUUUCCUUCACCAAGUUUUAUUCGAUUGGGUUUUCUUGUGAAGGUUUUUAACGAGGCAAUUUUCUAUAAUAUUUGUUUCUUUGAGUUUUGGCAUAGUCCCUCCAAUUUUUUUUUUAAUAAUAUAUUUCUUUGAGGUCUUA